AUUUUCCACCAUGAGCAUUUUUAUAGGAAAAGUCCAUAAAAUUGGAAAACCGAGACCCUAGACCUAAGACUGAGGACCACCGUUUUCUUCACCCCUUUUAUUAGCUAUUUUAGCUCCCCCAAGAGGAGCAGCGACACCUCCCCAAAAAUGGAGAUUUCUCCAUUGUUUCCAUAGCCAGAUUCUUACCUCGUCUCCUCUCAAAAAGCUUCAGUCACCCCACCCUCUUAAAAAAAACCCUAUUGCCACCUUCAAAGCCAGUCACAAAACAGGCCUUGUUAAGGUCUUUUGUUGUGGUAUUUGUUCGGAUUGAGUCGAGUUCGCCACUGUCGUUCGAGAUCCGGUCUUGGUUCGAGAUUUUCGUACAUUUAGCUCAAGUUUUCUGGCCAGUUGUUUUGGUCGUUGAUUCAAAGAUGUGACCUUCAAUGGAGUUUCUUCAUGUUUAAAAUAAAGAAAGAUUUUAUUCAAAGAAGCCGGAUCUGCUUGUAGUUUUUGGAUCUUUCACUAAAUUAAAGAAGUUCAUCUGAGGUGUGGAUCUGCUUAUCGGAGUUUGAGCAUGACAAACGCCCUAGGACCAUAUAGUCAGGGUCGCUCGUUCAGGAGUUGCUUAGGGAGAUUUUUGUUAUUUAUUAUGUUUUGAGUCUGUUUUUCUUUUUAUGUUAUCUUUUACCUUCUAGCUUUGUACAGUAAUGUUGAGUCUUUUAGGUGAUGUUAGAGUCUGUCAUAGUCUAGUUAAGUUUGCCGAGUCUUUCGUUAUUGUAUUUCCUAUCUUGUAUUUGAAAAAUGUGUUGUAAAUCAAAAAUCCAAAAAAGGAAAUUUCGCGUUUUUAUAUUUC